rnacentral:rRNA from 1 species
GAGUAAUGCGUGACCAACCUGCCCCAUGCUCCAGAAUAGCUCUUGGAAACGGGUGGUAAUGCUGGAUGCUCCAACUUGACGCAUGUCUUGUUGGGAAAGUGUUUAGUGGCAUGGGAUGGGGUCGCGUCCUAUCAGCUUGUAGGCGGGGUAAUGGCCCACCUAGGCUUCGACGGGUAGCCGGCCUGAGAGGGCGGCGGCCACAUUGGGACUGAGAUACGGCCCAGACUCCUACGGGAGGCAGCAGAC